rnacentral:misc_RNA from 1 species
AGCAGCCGCGGUAAUUCCAGCUCCAAUAGCGUAUAUUAAAGUUGUUGCAGUUAAAAAGCUCGUAGUUGAAUUUCGGGGUUAGCAGGUCGGUCGUGCCAUCGGUAUGAACUGGUCUCGCUGAUCCCUCCCUCUUGACGAACUGUGAUGCCAUUAAUUUGGUGUCGCAGGGAAUCAGGACUGUUACUUUGAAAAAAUUAGAGUGUUUAAAGCAGGCUCACGCUUGAAUACAUUAGCAUGGAAUAAUGAAAUAGGACGUUUGAUCCUAUUUUGUUGGCUUCUAGGAUUGACGUAAUGAUUAAUAGGGAUAGUUGGGGGCAUUAGUAUUCAAUUGUCAGAGGUGAAAUUCUUGGAUUUAUUGAAGACUAACUACUGCGAAAGCAUUUGCCAAGGAUGUUUUCAUUAAUCAAGAACGAAAGUUAGGGGAUCGAAGACGAUCAGAUACCGUCGUAGUCUUAACCAUAAACUAUGC